CCCACCGCUGCUCUCUCCUACCACCAGCCGCCGCCCCGCACCAGACCUCCGGCUCACUGUGCCCAUCUCAGUUCCCACACUGGCCGGCAGCCUUCAUCCCUGUACCCUACCCCAUCGGAGAAAGACAAGGACGGUGCAUGGCACGCGAAGGAGGACGGCGGCGGCACCACAUCUCAGUCGUCGCUCUCACCCUAGCCAUCGGCGCUGAGGUGGGCACGCAACCCAUGGAGGCCGAGGAGGUCUGCCUGGCCUUGGGGCAUAGGCUGCCUAUCGACAUGGAUGAAGCUGCUCACCAGCAGGCUGAUUCUGCCAUGCGACUUCGGACACAGGUGGCCACCACGGACGAAUUGGCCUUGCAGCCAGCCAAUGGAAGCUUGUGGCUUUGAGUGAGCCAGGCCAUGGAUGAAGCGGCUACCGGAGUCAAGGUGAGUCGCAUCGGCGCCGAAUCAAAUUUUGUUUCUGCAUCUGUCGCCCCUUAGCUCCUCUCUCUCACUCACUCUAUGCAUAUGUGUAAGGAGGAUCCACACAAUUGGGGCUCUGGAUCUAUUGGAUCUGUUGUGGGCAGACCAAAUCCAUGUGGAUGUCACAGAUCCACAUUAUGAGUGGAAGAAGUAAGCAUGGCUUGAGCCGCAGCAUGGACAUGGAAACCCUGGCAAAGAAAAGGGGUGGCAAAUCAAAUGGAAUUAUAUUGCAGUUUGGAGGAUGGAUAAUCGGGCUAUUCUUGCAGCACAGCAGCUGCUUCUAGCACAAGCUCUCAUGCGAACACCCCUAUAAUGUAGUGAAAGAUGAUCGGACAUAAAUGCUAUAUAUUUUGUCAACCAAUUCUUGUAGUUUGACCUAUUGGAUGAAACCUUUUAUGUGAUCUAUUGUUGGGUGAAAUGUGAGACUCUGUAUUUGAUUACUGGAUAAAAACUUGAUUUAUUGCAUGUGAUUUGGAUUAUGUCGACA